UAGAGGUGAAAGCGGGGGAGAAGUUGGUGGAGUUCUUGGUGGGGGCAUUGGUGGUGCACGAGGAGGAGAACUCGGUGGAGUUCUUGGGGGAGAUAUUGGUGGUGCACGCGGAGGAGAAGUUGGUGGAGUUCUUGGCGGGGAUAGAGGUGGUGCACGCGGAGGAGAAGUUGGUGGAGUUAUAGGGGGAGAUAGCGGUGGUGUACGUGGAGGAGAAGUUGGUGGAGUUCUUGGCGGGGAUAGUGGUGGGGCACGUGGAGGAGCUGUCGGUGAAAUUCUUGGAGGAGGAACUGGUGGUGCUCGUGGAGGAGAAGUUGGUGGAGUUCUUGGAGGAGAAUUUGGUGGAGUUCUUGGCGGGGAUAGUGGUGGUGCACGAGGAGGAGAAGUCGGUGGAGUAUUAGGAGGAGGAACCGGUGGUGCACGUGGAGGAGAAGUUGGUGGAGUUCUUGGCGGGGAUAGUGGUGGUGCACGGGGAGGAGAAGUCGAUGGAGUUCUUGGAGGAGGAAUUGGUGGUGCACGUGGAGGAGAAG
rnacentral:lncRNA from 1 species